ACAUUACAACGCUCACGCUCACCUGACUCCUAGCACACCUGCGUCACGUUUUCACGCCACCUACUUAAACUGUUUAAUCGCACGCACACUUUGCGUGGUUUCAUUCCCACUGUGUUUCAGUGUUCAGAGUUUUGCCAUUUUACUAUUUCUGUAUUCUGCAUUUGCUAAAAAUAAAGCUUGUGCUUAGAUCCGCAAUCCUCCGCUUCAUGACAGACGCCUUUUCUUGGAGCAGGUCCACAUGUGAUCUCUAAUUAACAGCUCUCGUGGACAGGAAGCAGUAAUUACCGCGCUCCCUCUGCGGCGUUCACUGCAGGCCUGAGGCAGGACUAAUGGUGAGCCGGAGAAAGCCAAACUGCAGCACCUCAUAUUCCCAUUAAAGAGGAUUACAGGCAUUGCUUUGGCGACCUCCAGCAUCCGCGUUGUCAGGACAGCAGUUUCCAAGGCAACAGGAGCACCACAAAGAGGCUGCACUAAGGGCCGAGUAGAUGGAGAGGGAGAGAGGAGGCAUGAGUGUUGCAGGAAACGGGUUUACGUAAGCAAGGACGUGUGUGUGUGUGUGUGUGUGUGUGUGUGUGUACUGUACUCAUCCACAGAGUGCCAUCUCCACAGACAGAAAAAAGAGAAUAGAGUAUACAGAGAAAAAUGACAGAGCAAAAAAUUUGAGGCAGAAAUAAAUUUAAAAAAAGAAAAAGCCUUGAGGGUUUUGUGUGUGUGUGUAUACGUGUGUGUGUGUGUGUGUGUGUGUGUGUUUGUUGCAGUGACCCAACUUGAAACCCCAGCAGAUCGAGAUGUGAAUACAGAGCUCAAACUAGCUGCAGCUGUCAAGGAUACUGAAAUUUUUUUAACUUGAAACAUUAAUAAUUAAUAUUAACAUUAAUAUCUUCCUCCAAAUAACGUUUCAUAACAUUUAGCAUGCGUGUGUGUGUGUUUGUGUGUGUGUGUGUGUGUUUGCAAUACACUGAAUGUGCAGAACUGGAAAUGAAAUUUACUGUGUCCAAACACACACAAUCACACACACAUGACAGAGCCGUUGGCCUACAUUCUCUCCGAAAUCCAAUUACACACAUCACCCUCUCUGCACACUGUGUGCGAAAACGCGGCUACACACAGAUCACACGCGAUGUGCUUAGAGUGUACAACUCAUGAUUAACUUCUGUUUAUGAUGUCACACUUACUUUAUGGUUCAUUUACGAUUUUUAUUAAUUAUCUUCACCUUCCAUUUUAUCUUUUUAAUGGCAUCACAAUUACAUUUUACUUUUAUGUUUCAGUUCUUUACCUUCCAUUUAGACCGGAACCCUCAUUUUUACCUUUCUUCUAUGAUGUCACAAUUACGUUGGUGUUUAGUUUAUGAUGUCACAAUUGUGUUUGUGUUUCAUUUAUGAUGUCACAAUUACUUCGGUGUUUCGUUUAUGAUGUCACAAUUAUGUUGUUUCAUUUAUGAUGUCACAAUUGCUUCGGUGUUUCGUUUAUGAUGUCACAAUUAUGUUGUUUCAUUUAUGAUGUCACAAUUGCUUUGGUGUUUCGUUUAUGAUGUCACGAAUAGGUUAUGUUUCGUUUAUGAUGUCACAAUUUCAUUCGUGUUUCGUUUAUGAUGUCACAUUUAUGUUUGUGUUUCAUUUAUGAUGUCACAAUUACUUUCACCUUACAUUUACAAUGCAACACUCAUUUUUGCCUUCCUUUUAUAUUUCAUUUUUACUUAUGCUGUGACUGUUAGAUAUGCUUGUUGUGUCUCUGCUGCAGAUGUUAAGCAGCUUAUACAUUUUUAAAAAAUCAUAUAAACACUGAUAGCUUGUUUUUGAAUUUCAGCUUUAGAUACUGAAUGGAAAUCCAAAUCUGAAGUUCACCAAAUUAUUUGCUAAGUACACCAGAAUCUGACUUAGAUUUGACUUAAAUCAGUGAGACAGUUAACAUACAUGCAAAAUAGUACAACACACAUCUGUCAUGUCAAGAGAUCAGAGUAUUCCUUAAGCAUGUCAGGUACUGUUCUGUCCUCAGUUUACUGAAGAUGAUUUUUACUAAUUAUUACCCUACUCUGGUGUCAGUGUUCUGAAGCUUGUGAAAAUUUGGUAUGGGUUUUAAGAAAUGGUUAUGAGACGAUGGUGGGUUUCUGUGUUUAUCUGCGAGUUGCUUCCAACUUCCACAAAUGUACCUACACCUUGAACCUGCUGCAGUUUAAAACAAACAUCAACUAAGGCAUUAUGGAAAUGAAGCCAAUCUGUGAUAAUGAUUGGAGUAAAGCCAUUAAAUCCAUCAAACAAGAUGUAAUUUAUUUAUAAUUGACUAAACCAAACAGCUUUUAAGAUUCCCCACAGACAGCAACUCGAUGAAUUUUACAUAAUUAAGAUGCACUGAGUGACAAACAAACGUAGCUUUUACAAAAAAAAUUAAAAAAUAGGAUAAUUUAAUGACGUUUUAAUCUUGGUUUUAGCACACUUAGAAAGCAAAAGAAAUGUUAAUGGCUGUAUCCGAAAUAGCAAAUAUCCAAAGGCAUUAUGGGUAUUCUAUACCUGCUACUCUAUAUCAUUUGGGCACUACCCUGUUGCAGUGCAUUGUGGGAAUUUAAUAGUAUGCUGAUACUGAUCUACUUUGCUAUAAAAUGUCCAGACUCUGAAAAUAGUGUACUAUACGUAUAGUGAAUAAGGUGGAGCUCUGAACAUAAAGAAACAAUUACCUUAAAAUUCUGUUUUAUAUCAUUAGCUUUAAUUCUUCAAUUCC